AAAAAAAGCACAAUACAUGACUGUGUUCUCCAUGAAUGUCCAGAAAGCAGCUUCUGGAUGUUCAUGCAUUCUGCAUGGAACUACAGUUUCCAUGUGCCAGUGCAUGUGCCUUCCUAUUUCAUCUCAGUCAACCAAGAGAAACCAGUUGAAAAUAGCAACUCUGCUCAUAGUAUUAGGUUUUGAAAAAGGAGGAAUCUAUAUUAGCUCUCUUGCUUAGGUGGGGCAGUUUCCCCAUCUUGUCAUGGCAGGUAUGGCAAUGAUGAUUUUAAACUGAGCCCUGAAAACACUUGGCUUUUACUGCACCAGUUGCUAGACUAAAAUUCUACCAGUUUUGUGAAUAAGUCACAGCCUUGUUUGUCUGAGCUCAAUGUAUAAGAGGCACUCCAGUGUCAACUGUGAAAUAAGACUGAUUUUUUUUGUAUAAAGAUCAGCUUUCAAAUCCCAGACAAGUGAAUAUAAAUUUUAGUUUCCUGUUAUCCCAUCAUGUGGAAUCCAGAAAAAUUUGGCAAUAGCGCCGUUAGCUUUUGUUGAAGCAGUACCCCUGAGGAGGCUCUGAGCUGGGUAGCUGUGCACCACCACUGUGCUAGUAUUUUGUGGGAGGGCUGCACAGGCUUAGCUUCUGUAGCAUUUAAGAGAAAGGGCAGUUCAGCUCUCACUUGGUGCAAUCAAGGCUUACCAAUUUGAACAGGGUACGGAAAUUGUUUACAAAAAGAAACAAGCCAAGCUUCAACUAAAGAAUUCAGCUCCUGCCUAGGUUCUAAAUGCAUUUACAACUGG